CUUAGGAGCCAAUGAUGUUUUUAUUCAAAAUGUCUGAACCUGUCUGAUGCAUCUCAGUGAUGCAAUCUUUGUAUUGCUGCUGAGGCUUCUCUGCCA
ensembl:snoRNA